GUAUUUAUAGUUUAAAUAAAACAUUAGAUUGUGGUUCUAAAGACAAAAGUUAAAACCUUUUUAUCUACC
rnacentral:tRNA from 1 species